CUACGGAGGGUGCAAGCGUUAUUCGGAAUCACUGGGCGUAAAGGACGCGUAGGCGGGUUGGCAAGUCAGAUGUGAAAUCCUACAGCUUAACUGUAGAACUGCAUUUGAAACUGCUAACCUAGAGUAUGGGAGGGGGAGAUGGAAUUAGUGGUGUAGGGGUGAAAUCCGUAGAUAUCACUAGGAAUACCGAAAGCGAAGGCGAUCUCCUGGAACAUAACUGACGCUAAGGCGUGAAAGCGUGGGGAGCAAACAGGAUUAGAAACCCUGUAGUCC
rnacentral:rRNA from 1 species